AAUGAAAGUUUGAGCCUUUUAUCUUGACCUGUCCUAUACUUUUUGUUCCAAUUAAUCCUUUGGGAAAGGAGUUUCGUGGUGUAAAACGUUGAUUUUGGGGACACAAUUCAGUAGCAGCUUCCACCUGUCCCUCCGAAGAAGCUGCAUUUAGUUUAACUGUUUGGAGUUCUUAGCGUCCCAUGCUUGCUGCUUCUGUUUCAGCUGUCGGCGCUUUUGUUCAACAAGGCUGGAGUUGGCUAAAUUUGUGCAGGCAGGAACAAUAUGUCCAUCUUCGCCGCACUUGAAGCAAAACCAAGGCUUGGGCCUGGUGGAGACAUUGACUUUUGGCUUUAACUUACUCUGCCGGUAAUCUGGUGCAGAGGCGGGAAUUUUCUUCGCCAGCAAAGCAGACAUCUGAUUUUGCAGUUUUACCAUUUGUUGUUUCAGUUCAUCAAUGGCGCUGGUGUCCGUGCGGCCACAGACACAGGAGGAUGCACUCUGAGACUGCAGGUUGGCACGAUGUUUCGAGGAUGUAAUGUGUUUCUUCAUUAAGGACUCUUUGGCCAACUGCCUGUCCUCUUCGAUCCGGAGCAGGAACAAAAGUUCGGAGAAGGUAGGUGGAUUGUCUUUUUUUUGCUCAAGCUGUAAUUUUGUAAUGACAACAUUGUCCCAGCAUCCUCUGCAGAACUGUUUCAAUAGAUGCUUGUCAGUGUCUCUUGCUGGGAUUCCGCCCCGCUUCACAACUGUGCUCAGUGUCAGUUGCAGUCUUUGCAGGAAGGAAGACCCUCGCUCUCCGUGGUCCUGAAGAGUGUUUAGGAACUGAGCGAAGAGCUCUUCUCCAUCCUGGACAGUGGCAAAGGCUGAGUCGAGCACUUGGGUGAACAUGAUUGGUAAAGAGUUGGGCCCCAAGCUUUUAACAAGGUCGGCAGCUGGAGGGAGCAGGCUUUCUAGAAUGCGCCUUGUAACGUGCAGUGGCGACAAGGAAUCCUUCCAGAAAAUGUUCGUAGGCGCAGUGGGGACAAGGAUUGGAGGCUCAUGUCGUCCUUUCUCACAAUGUGCUCCACGACAACCCUCUGUACUUCUGGGGGAUUCAAGUCGUGUCCAGAAAGAGAAAUCAGCUGUCCUGGAUUGGCAGCUGUAUUGACUAGAGGAGGGUCUGCUGAUUGGCCAGUGGAAGAAUGACCCACCGACUGAGAAGUUGAUGGCAUCUGAGACACAAGGGUUGAACCUGACAUGGUCUGCCCCGUCUCCAGUACAUCAACUGUAGUCUCUUGUCUCUCCUCAUCUUCAUCAUCAUCAUCAUUUCCUCCGACUUCUGCCAGAUGUCCACUUAUUUGAUCCAUUACCUCUUUAAUAACUUCUUCAAAGGGUUUUCCACAUCGGUAAGCAAUGCGUUUGAGCUCAUGGAGGUAAUCAGUGGAAGGUACAGUGGGGGCAGGAAUGAUGGCAGUACUCCCCCCUGUGGCUGUGGCAUAAAGUUCAUCCGCAAGUAGUUUUAUUUCACAGACUAAACCAGACUUGCUCUGUGAUUCAAAUUUAUAUGGCAAAAGAGGCUUCAAUUUAUUCAAAGCUGCGUAUGUAUCAUAUUCAACAAUCAGGUUUUUGUAAAAAGAACUGUCAGAAUCUGUAACAGUAAAUGCCAUUUUUAAAUCCCCAUAAGUACGCAAAUAAUCAAUCAACUCAUCAUCUGCUUGAGUGUUAGUCACACCGGUAGCAAAAACACAAUGGGAAACCUCAACCCCUGUUUUUUCAAUGAAAUCCAUUUCAGACACUUCUGAUGCAAGUUUAGUCAAAAAACAAAAAACAAUCUCAGUAAUUCACAAUGAAUAUUCACACAUCAGACUCCUGGCUAGCUUGCCAAAUGUAACGCUUGUUAAAGGCUAAUGACAAGGAACUGACUAUAUAGAUGUAGAAAGAUGUUACCAGAAGAGGGUUCGUUGAGGAGCCCGAGGUGUGAAUAAUCACAGAGACAAAAAUAAGGUUUAACUAGUUUUGUAUUAAAGUGGCCAAGACACACACAAAAAAAAAAAACAACAAACACACAAACAUUAAUAACAAAACAGUUUUUGAUUAAUUGUCCCCAAGGUUCAGUUAGGUUAGAUUGUUAGUCCAUACGCUAUGGUAAUCCAGGGUUGGGAAGAGAAUAGUUUUUAUCCUUAUAGGAAAGAAGAGUCUGUAUCCUACCGCACAGGUAGAGGUCUUAGCUCGCCAUCUUCAGUUGAAUUAGAAGAAAAAAAAGUUGUUGUGAACCAGAUUGUAGUGAGGGUGAUGUCCUUUUUCUGGCAUAAAAAAAAAA